rnacentral:lncRNA from 1 species
AAAAAAAGAAAAAAAGAAACACUAUAAAAAUGGAUUAAAAAGAAAAUUUUAAAAUUAAUGGUAUAUAAAUUGGUCUUUUAAUUAACCAACAAGAAAAGCUAUUAAAAUAAAAAAUUAUGUAAAUAAAAUUUAAAAAGAAAAAGAAAAACUAUGAAAAAGGGAAAAGGAAAAGUAUAAAAUAACAGGGAGCAAAGAAAAAAAAUUAAUAAAAUUAUAUAUAAAUGGAAAAACAAAAAGUAUAAAAAGGGGAAAAAGCAGAAAUUGGAAAACUAAAAUAAUAAAAACCAGAAAAAAGAUCACAAUAAGUAGUUUCAAACAUUGGCUGACAAUAUAAACUCACAACAUUUUAGCCACUAUACCAAACUACACUACAUUUCCUUUCUACCACUAAAUUAUUUUAUAAAACAAUCCAGGGGCAUGGCCCCCUCCUCCCCUUCUCUCCACUCCCUCUGCUAUUGGUUGGGCAUAACUAUUUUGAAACUUAUAUAUAUUAGCACCACAAAUAUAAACAAAUAUUUAAAAUAAAAGAAAAAUGAUAUAAAACACAAGACAAGCCAAGAAUACUCUCAAGGAGAUCUCAAUUAAUAAAAAUUCAUUUUUAUUAAAUCUCAUAAAAUUAAAAAAUAUAUUGAAACAAACAAAUAAAAUUACAAUCUUGAUAUAGAUAUAGAAGAGUUUGUGAUAAAAUUAGAGGGCUUAGAGAAACUAAAUCCGUUGAUGAUGCAUAGAAGCUUCGAUGAAUAUGAAUUCAUUUAGGAUCUAUGGCAAGGUCAUGAUUCAAAGAUGGAUUGGAGAAAGAGGAAGAGAUGCCAAGGUUAAAGAGAGAGAAAGUGACUGAAUAAAUUGUGGACUUCAAAAACUGGCAUUUAAUGGUUGUGGGUUAAGCUUACCAAAGAUUAAGGCCUCGUUUGGUUCAAAUUCAUCUACUUUCCGAGGAGUUCACUUCCUAGAAAAUAAAGUUUCAAAGAAGUUACUUCUUGAAAAGUACAGUGUGAAUAUGUUUUGUUGAUAUAUUGAAUUCCCAAGAAAUAAAAUUGUGUUAAUGAAAUUUUACAUAUGAAAGGACAAUAAUACUCCUACCAUGAAUUUAAAUAUAAUAAUUGAAAUAAUUCAUUGAAAGCGCAAAAUGGAGAUUGUUAAAUUCUAAAGGUCAAGAAGUGUACUUCCUUAGGUUGAGGAGAGGAAGUAACUUCCUGUACGGACAAGAAGUUGAGCAAUUCAACUUUUCGAGAAGUUCUUUAUUUUUGGAAACCAAACAUAAUCAAAUGCAUCACUUUUCAGGAAGUUUAAGUUCCUGAUGUAACACCCUAUGCGAAUCUCACAUCGGCUAAACACAAGGUGUAAAUGAAACCCAUAAGAAUGGGCAAGUUUUAAACUAGCAAGAAGCCAUAAGGCAUGAGUUGGUUCGGCCAGAGUAAAUAGUAUCUUGCAAUGUUUAAGAUGGAUGUGAGUUGGUUUUAUCUUGGCAACUUGUAAAGAGGUUUUUUUGGCUAUUGUUGGUUGUAGCUCAAGAACAAACCCGUGCGGGCCUGAGUAAGUUCGGUCCAAAGCGGACUGUAUCUUGCUAGCUCAAACUUAUUCUAAAGCCUAGUCUUAACUCCAUAUUGGAGUGUUAAAUGCUAUAAUAUCUAAGUUUUAAAAUAGGAGUGCUUGGGAUACAUAAGUGCUAUAAUACCUAAGUUUUAAAAUGAGAGUGCUCGGGAUACAUAAGUAAAAAUAGAGUGAUUUCGCGAUAAGUUAAAAAAUUGAGAGUAUUUUGAUAGGUUUGUCCAUAUUUGAAGAUAAACUCAAAGUAGUAAUGUUUCUUUGAGAUUUUAUCAAUAUACAUUUCAUCUUUCUUCACAUUUCAAAUUUAAACAUUUUUCUCUUUAUUGUGUGGUCCAUUAAUAUUAUCAUUUUAUGGAGUAGCCAAUUCCCUUAACAAGAGGGCAACUAUUAAGGAUAGGCGAAUGAUAAGUUUCAAGAUUAUCAUUUUCCCCCCUAUCAGCAUAGAGUACUGUGUUUAUAAAGAUAAAACUUGCAUACGUCUGGUGUAUAGAUGGUCUUAUAUAUCAAACCAAUCAAAAAGUAGCAUUUUAAAAAAAUAUUACCGUUAUAUAUUUUUUUCCUGUACAUGAUCGUAAAUGGUUAAAUACUCUUAUUUUGAAUUAAAAUUCUAUAUGUGAUUAAUUUGAUGUACAAGUAAAUCUAUAUACUCGAUGUAGGUAAUUCUUUUCCGUAUUUAUAAAUUACCAUUGCAACAAUAUUUAUAGAUAAGUUUUCAUAUCCAUCAAUAUACUCACCUUUAUGUCCACCGCCUGCAUUACUCGUAUGUCAAUACAUUUUUUAAAAGAGUAGGCUUUUGCGGGGCUUCCCUUGUUAUUGAUUAAAUUUCACAUGAAAAGAAAUUAAAAAUUAAUAAAUAAUCUUUAUGUCUCACAUUAUAAAUCGUUUAAUAUUUUUACACGAAAAUUAAAAAACUAUGAGUAACUUUAUUCUAUCUAAUGUAAAUAAGAGUGAUAUUAAAAAAUUAUCAUUUAUUAUUCUUUAAAAUACUUAAAACGAUUUAUAUUUUGGGAUAUAAUGAUCACUCAAAAUGAUUUAUAUUUUGAAAUGGAGAGAGUAGUUAGUACUAGAAAUCAUUUUACCAAUCAAACCAUCAGCAUCAAACCUUUUAGUGUUUUGUUAAAUCAAAUGUAGUAAGGAAAAAAAAUAAUACGAUAACUUUAUUUGGUUCAAAUACUUGCCUUUUCUUGUUACAUUAUAUUGAAUGAACUUUAAGCAGAUAUAUGAAUAAUACAGGUAUUUGGCUUUCCAAUUCGUUGCUCUUUUCCUGAAAGAAGCCAAUUCUAAUUAAGGGUUGAUGGAAAUCCAAUUUUUUUGCCAUUUUAAAAUGAAAAAAAAAAUAAAACUAAAAAUUUUACAAAAUUUACAUAUAUUUUUAAAAUUUAUAAAUUUAUAAUUUUUGUAAAAAGUACAAUUUUAAAUUGAAAUAACAAAAUGAAAUUUAGUGGUUCUCUUUCUCUCCUGCAUGAUAAAAUGAUAUUGUUUUUUUUUUUUUUUUUUAAAAAAAAAAAAGAAAGUGAAUGCUAAAUUUAAGGCGGAACACAAAUAGAUGAUUCCAAAAGACACAAACACACUACCACUAUCUUUUCCGUGACCAAUAACAGACAGUCACGUAUUCAUGUGCCAAUCAGACGUAUGUCCUAAUCCAUCUUCUUCGCCUAUUUAAAGACAAAGGUCCUCUGUGUUCUGUGUUUAAAGAUGUCCCUUCGCUAAAUCAAAAGGCCGAGAUUUCGGCUCUAUAAAACUCGGAUAUUUCGCGACAUUUCGUUUCCUACGGUGUAAUGGCAAUGGCUGGCUAUGGGCUAUUGAAGAUCGAUGAAGGAGAGCUAAAGAGCAAUCGAAGAACAUCGCGUCUCGCUUCUCUUGAUGUCUUUCGCGGCAUCUCCAUUCUUGUGAGCUUUCUUUAGCUUUUCUUGUUUUCUUUUAAUUUAUGCCACGUUUUUGAUUGGUUGCUGAGAAAAUGCCAGAAAAUGAACCGCCGCAUGAAAAUAAUUCAAUGGAAAUUAAGCCAAAAAAAAAAAAAAAAAAGCUUCAUUUUCAGGUUUUAUUUCUCUUUGGCCUCUGUUUCCAUAUUUUUGUUAAUUUUAUGUUUUUGUUUUUUCUUUUAUUUAAAUAUUUUAAACAAACAUACAAAAAAGAACAGAGUUCAUCAUAUGAAAAAAAAAAAAAAAAUCUCAUUGAGUAUAAAUUUUUUUAAAAUAAUUUAAUAAUAUUUAUAUGAUGAGAUCCACUCCACCCUAUAUGAAAAUAAUCCACAUCAAUCUGAUCUGAAUAUGAAUUACUGGGUAUAAAAAUCAUAAAAUUUGAUUUUUAUUAUUUUUUUAUAAUAUUUUUGAAUAUAUAAUUUUUUACAAUUGUAUAAUAAUUAUAAAAACUAAAACAAUAAAUAUAUCCUAAAUUAAUUUAUUAGCGCUGUCCAACCACUUUUCAAAAUAGACUGAGUGCAGGAAUGUCCAACCGAAGCUUACCUUUCGUCCAAUCAACUUGUUAGUGGAUGAGAAAAGCAAACAUACGUUGCGUGCGUGCAUUUCGUAUAAUGCGCAAUGCAUAGCAUAAUUCGUUUGCUCUUUACGCAAUCUUUCUGACGUCAAAGUAACCUUCAGUUUUUGCAAACUGUCCGAAAAAAGCAUAGAAAUGCUCAUGGAAAAAAAUAUUUAUAUAUCUCCUUUCAAAUUGAAGACUUUUAAAAAAAUUCCAUAAAAUUUUGAUAAAUACUAUGAAUUUUAAUAUUCUCAAUCUGAAACUUUUUAUAAAAAAAAGAGAGAGAAAAAUUUGAAAUGACUUUCUGCUUUUCAAAAAUAUUCUGAUGUAUAUAAAUAUUUUGUUUUAUUAUUCAAACGAUAAUCUAUAUUUAAAUACAGCAAAUGAUUUCAGUAAAUUUAAAAUUUAAUCUAUAGAAGAACAUUUAUAAAAAAGAAAAAAAAGAAAAGUACAGGUUUUCAAAUGGCCCAACUCACACAUUAAUGGACUAAAUUUGAGAAACUGCACUUUGUACUUCAUAAUUUAUUUAUAGGCCCACCAACAGACCCCCAUACUUUAAUGCACACGUACGGUCUUAAUUGUUUCUCGGAAGUUACUUCAAUUAAUGAAUCGAAUAACAAUUCAAUAAAAUAUAAAAUAAUAUUAUUAUUAUGAAUAACAAGUCAAUAAAAAUAAGACACUUGUCAAAAGUGAUAUAUAAAUAAGAUUUAAUUAAUUCAUUAUUUCCAUCUCUAUUUCAUUUUAUUUUCAGUUUGCAUUAUUAUAUAUGAUAAGUGUCUUAUUUUUUAAAAAUUGUCGUUCCAACAUAUAAUGGUGACAUGGCAUCGGUGUUUUAUUAUAUAAUCAUUCAGAUCAUCAUCCUUAAAUUAUUUGAUCAUUUCAUAAAAAUUAUUAUUUUAUUAAUCAGUAAGUAUUAAUAAAAAGGUAAAAAUAUCCCUUAUUUUUUUAAAACAAUAUCCUUUAAAAUACUAUCUAAUCAUUCAUAUUUAAUAAUGUGAUCAUAUUAAUUUAACAAUAAAGGCAUGCGUUUUGGAUUGAGUUGUGGUUGAUUUAGUGAAUUUUUAAUUUAGGAACCAACCAAAGAAAGAGUUUAAUAAUUAAGAGAAAUUUCAAUCAUUAAAUAACAGUUCUCUAAGAAAAGUAUUCAUCUUAGUUGGUUUUUAGGAGUGUCAAAAUGGGUUUGCAGAUAGAUUUCGACAUAAACUCAUCUACCAUGCGACAUGAUUAGAAUCAACAUAAACACGAUCUGUUUAAUAAUUAUGCAAAAUUUUUAAAUAUAAACACAAAAUGCAAAUUAAAUGAAUGACACGAAUAUGACAUUUAUAAUCUGUUUAAUUAAAUAGAUCAUAUAUGAAUCCAAAAAUUCAACCAAACUUAAUUAAAUGAGUCAAAUACGGGUUAGAACAUAACACGUAUGCAUAUACAAUAUACUUAAUAUAUAUAUUAUAUAUAUUUUAAAUGGAUUAUACAUAUCGUGUUAUCACUCGUAUACGAGUGACUCAUAUAUAUAUAUAUUUGAGUCACUCGUAUACGGGUGAUAACACGAUAUGUAUAAUUCACUUAAAAUAUAUAUAAAUCACUUAUAUACAGAUCAAAACAUGACAUGUAUACAUGUAUAAUUCACUUAAUAUAUAUAUUUAUCGUAUUAUAUAUAAAUCACUAGUGUAUGCACGAAUUUAUUUGGGCUCAACUUUAUCGUGAUUAAUUUCUCUGUUAGGCAAAUCUAAUUUAUGCGUGUGAUAGCUGAUUUUAACAUCUCUACUUUUUAGAUUGCUUCAAUCAAUCAAAACCACAUAAUAUUUCCGUUUGAUUUUAUCGGAAGCAGGUUGGCAAGUGGACCCACAUAAUGUGUGGUGGUGGUCCAUAUGCUCUAAACGCUGGAUGGGACUUGGCUAUAACUGGUGUUAAUUUCUUGAUAUCUUUAAAAAAGAUUCCACGAUUGUUCUUAUACCCAGUGGCAAACAACAGUUACAUUACUCCUGCUGAACCCAAAACCUUACUACACUUCGUAUCUUACUAAAACAAAUUCUCUUUUGACCGCUUUAAAACGGACAGCACGCUCAGUACACACAGUCAAAAGGGCUACCCGCCACCCAGCCCUUUCCUUCCUUCGUCUUCUUCUCUGCAAAAGAAAAAACGCCAAACUUAUAAUAAUCAAAGCUACAAUAUUAAUCUUCCCUUAUACUUAUUCUCUUUCUUUCUUGUUUCUCAUUCUUUUCUCUCUCCUUAUAAAAUGGCUGACUUAGAAGUGCCUUUGCUGCUGCUGCAAUCGCCGCUCUCCGAUAACAAGCCCACGCGUGUUGCUUCUCUCGACGUCUUUCGCGGCCUCUGCGUCUUUGUAACUCUCCCUACUUACCUUUCGCUUUCUCGUCUUCGUUCUUCAGAUUCUCGUCCGAAUUACGUUUUACGGUUUCUUCUUCCUCAAUUUUCAACGUUUUUAUUAUUAUUAUAAGCAUUAUUUUAGUGCCUGAGCUGUUUGGUUUAAAUUUUAGGACUGUUUGGUUUAAAUUUUAGGAAAGAAAAGUUAGUUUUAACAAAAUUUCUAGCGUAACUUGUUUGUCUCAGAACCGAAAAAGUUGUUUAUGUUUGUUAUCAAUUUGGUGGCUACAGCUAAUGAUGAUUGUGGAUUAUCUGGGAUCGAUUUUUCCGAUCAUUGCUCAUUCUCCAUGGAAUGGCCUUCGCUUGGCGGAUUUUGUGAUGCCUUUCUUUCUUUUCAUAGCCGGAGUUUCUCUUGCACUUGUUUAUAAGGUAAGUAUACUACUAUAAUUAUUAUUACUUCAAAAGAAAUGCAUGUUUGCUUUAAUUAGGGAUUUUUAUAUUCUAAUUCUGUUUUAUGAAUAGAAAAUUGUUGAUUUUGACAAUUCAACGCAUUUUGUUAAUUAUCACUUCUGAUUCACUUGCUAAUUUUAUUUGGUUAAUAUUGGCUUUUAAUCUGAAAGUUCUGUUUUUAUCAGAAAGUAUCAGACAGAGUAGAUGCUACAUGGAAGGCAGUACUUAAGGCAGCAAAAUUGUUUUUCUUGGGUGUUUUUCUUCAAGGUGACACUGUCAGACAAUUGAAUUAUUGUUGUGGAUUUUAUAGCAGUAUAUAUCUAUAAUACUAUCGGGACAUACAUUUAAUUAGCAUACAUUUGUUAAAUUGUUCAUUUUUUUUCAGGUGGUUAUUUUCAUGGGAUAAAUUCAUUGGCUUAUGGUGUUGACAUCGAAAGAAUACGUUGGCUUGGCAUUCUGCAGGUACUCAAAAAUUUCUUUCUCCAUGUAUUAAUAUUUCCUUCCUCAAUACCCUUAUGCCAUGUUCGGAAAAUUAACUGUUUAUCUAUCCUAAUAGCUAUACUAAAGUAAUAUUGUUUCAUAAUACAUUCACUCAAACUCUAAGGUCAUCGAAUAGUAUUUCAAUAUUUAUUAAAACGCUAAAAGCUACAUAAAAAGUUAUCGUUGAACGGCCCUUACACCACAUGUCUAAAUUUUCACGAGUACAGAUUAAGUGAUUGUCAUUAAAGUAGGAUUAAAAGUUUCCUUCUUAAUUACAUAAACCGUAGUCCAGUGUCAUUGUUCAUUUACGUUAGUCCUAUACAUUGUUAAACUUGUUUUUGUUGUCAUUCAAGCCAGAGAAUAUCUAUUGGCUACAUUGUUGCGGCUUUAUGUGAGAUUUGGCUUUCAUCUCGACCGAUAAGAGAAAUAGGUUUCUUCAAGCCUUAUUAUUGGCAUUGGUAAGGUUUUGAUAUCUUGCAUUGGCCUUUAUAUUAUUAAACUUCAAGCAUAAUUGACAUCGUAAAAGUGUUAUGUUUAACAAUUGUAAUGUGACUUCAAUUCUUGAUUCUAUUUCACGAAAUGGCUUAAGUAACAAUACUCAUUUAUUUUCCCUCUCUCACUUGGGCCUAAUAAGCAGGAUUUUUAAUAAAUAUUUGCCUGAUUAACACACCAUUAACUCAGAUCCUUGAACAUGUAAUACAUAGAUCAACAUUCAAUUGAUAUCUUAAAAUACUAAUCAGAUGGUGAGUAUGAGCUUAAUGGAUUGAAUUGCAAUUUUUUUUUUUUUUUAAUUUUUUGGCUUUCUUUUCUCAAUUUAUUGAUGAAGCAAAAUUUUCAGGGUUUUGGCAUUUUCAUUGUGUGCAAUUUAUACGGGAUUAUUACACGGUCUCUACGUUCCAGAUUGGCAAUUUGAAAUCUCCAAUUCAACUUCUUCUGUUCUUCCAAACAAUGGCAGUUAUGUUUACUUGGUGAGAGUUUACUGAAACCUUUUUCUUUUGCUAUUAUUAUUAUUUUUUUUUUUUUUAUGCCUGUGAUUGUGUGCAUGUAUGUGAGGGUGCAUAUAGAAAUUAAAUUCAUGGAGAACAGAACCACUAGAGAAUGCUUGUCAUUAUCUAAAUUUUGUUUGCUACAAUUUUGACCAUGUUAUGAGCGCCUUGAAGCAUUUAUCUCUGGAACUAGAACUUCUAAUGUAGAUUUCUACUAGAAUUCGUCACCUUUCUAUGAAGAGCAAGUUAAUUUGCCAACACCAUAUUAUUUCAUCGUCCAAAUACUCGACUAAAACAUCAUUAGAGGAGAGAUGUGUUUUUGAAGUACAUUUUACAUACGUAAGUCAAUACAGUCAUUGCGCAUGCAUUUUCUGCUAGUAUUAUCCUUUCAAAAUGAAGUUAAAAUUUUUAUUGCUUGACGUUUGAAGUCAUGAAUUUGAAUACAUUCUUCAUAUUUUUCACAGGUGAGCUGCUCUGUAAGAGGCGAUCUUGGACCUGCUUGUAAUUCAGCUGGAAUGAUCGAUCGCUAUGUUCUUGGUAUUGAUCAUCUCUAUACAAAACCCGUCUAUAGAAAUCUGAAGGUAUUCUAUAUUGAUCUUUUUAUGGUGGUCUUUAUCCAUCCAUAUGCAAUGUAUUGAUCCCUAACAAAAAUCUCAACUUAUAGGAAUGCAAUAUGACAAAUGGCCAAGUUUCAGAGAAUUCACCUUCAUGGUGUCAUGCUCCUUAUGAUCCUGAAGGUCUAAUAAGGUAGUUGAAAUGCAUAUCAAUAAGCUACUUAUUCAAUUAAGUUGAUCAAUAGAAUCAUGAAGAGGCAAGUGACCUGUUUUUUUUCUGUUGAAUGGUAGUUGGCAAACGUUUUUUGAAGUUCAACAAGCCAAGUGGAAGAUUUAGGAGAGUCAAAGUUGAGAUAUUAUCGAAUAAUAUAUAAUAUGAAUCAAACGUACAUAGACAGAUUAUCAAAAUCGAAGUCUAGAAAGUAGGAGGAUGUCAAAAGAUGAUAAUUUUCUACUAAACAUAAUUACACAUCAAUAUGAGUCGCAUACUAUUCAGUCUUAUUUUUGACAAUUAGGUAACGCGCUAAAAUUUAUUGUGCCUACAGUUCCUUGACGGCUGCAGUUACCUGCAUUAUUGGACUUCAAUUCGGCCAUGUCCUUGCUCACGUAAAGGUGAUAUCAUAUGCAUUCUUUACUCUCCCCGUGAAUUUUCUUUUCUUAUCUUUUUCACCUGUAGUUAUUUAUGGUCACUGUCGUAUAGGAGAUUUAUAAUGAUGUGCAAAAGCAUUCUGCUUUGAGCUACAUGCUACUGCUAUUUCACGUACUAUAGAACAAUCACCAUUUUGGUAAUUGCUUGUCAAGCUUAUUGACGUUACUUGUUACACAUGCUUUUCAGGACCACAAAGGGCGGGUGGAAUGUUGGUCUUUCUUCUCAUUUUCACUUCUUCUACUUGGAUCAUCCCUCGCCUUCGUAGGUAUGCUCGUCAACAGCGCAUAACUUUUGCCUUCAAUAAGUACCUAUCGACACAUUUUUGUUAUGAAGAUAGAUAACACUUGUUGCUAUAGAAAACAUUCCAUCCUCAAAAGUAAAGCAAGGUGCUCUACUAAUAAGAACAAAUUGAUCUCCCCCAAUUUGUUCAUUUUAGCAAUCAAUUUUAGGUUCUUAGUAAAUACAUAUUGAAAGCAAAUCUUUGAUCUUCCCCUUUUGUUUUGCAGGCAUCCCCGUGAAUAAAUCUCUCUAUACAAUUAGUUAUAUGCUUAUUACUUCUGCUUUGGCAGGAAUCACAUUCUCAGUUUUGUACUUGGUGGUGAGUCAAUUCUACCUACUAUUGGAAGCAAAGCAUAAUCUUUAGCAGCUUCUUAGAUUUUCCAAGAAAUAUAUACUUGUCAGAUUUGACUUAAAAAUCUAAUUUGGUUGCUCUUGCAAAGAAGCCAACUGAAGCAUAAACCACGAGACCAUGAAAACCCUACUCUAUACUUACUGAAAAUUGAAGCAAAAGAUUAUUUUCAUCUUUCUUAACUCUGAAUCAUCACAACUUAAAAUCCCUCAAACCAAAUAUACUCCUCGUUCCUACUAUUUGACAUUUUUAUCUCUUUUUCUUACUGUUUAUAUACUGCCUGCUGUAGGUAGAUGUAUAUGGUUACAGAUGGGUGUCAUUACCGUUGGAGUGGAUGGGAAGGCAUUCCUUGAGUAUCUUUGUCCUUCUAACAUCUAACUUAAUUAUUAUUGCAAUUCAAGGAUUCUACUGGUCUAAGCCUGAAAACAACAUAGUGAGUGUUUAGAAGAUCUACUGCUUUUUAUUCACUUGCUACUAAUAUGUAAAUCCAAAGACAGCUAACACCACAUUUUUUUUCUUGUUGCCUCACUUUUUUAACAGAUUCACCAGAUUGUCGCAUCCUUCGUGCACAGAUGAUACAUAUGGUCAUUGGGUCGAAUUACAUGGUUAGAGAUUUUGAAUCUUGCUUUUAAGAUAGGGUAAAACACUGAAUUCUCUAGCCAAUCUCUCUUUUCAGACCACAUUUUAUAAUAGUGUUUUGGGAAAUCAAGGACAUAUUAUUAGUACCUAGUGAAUCUUUUUACUUUUCCCCCUCUAUAUACAAAAUGAAAGUGAUAUAUAUAAAAAUGUAUAAGCUUUAGACUAGCAAGAGCCAUUGACUGAGUACGAGGGAAAGUGAUAUUUAUAAAAAUGGGUAAGCCCUUAGACCAGCAAAGAGGUCUUUUGAGGGUGAUGGAUCAUCCAUUACCCUCGAGAACAAAACUGUGCAGACUGGAUCCAAAGCGGACAAUAUCUUGCUAGGCCUAAAAUGCCAUAUAUAAUGAGUAAAAUCACUUAACUUCUAAUAAAAUGAUUAAAUAGUUGAUGUUUUCAUACUAUAGAAACUAAAUAAUUUCUUCCAAAAAUAGAAUAACUUACGGGAUAAUGGUAAUAUUUACCCCUCUACUUACCUCUACUUACGGGAUAAUGGUAAUAUUCAGGUUUACAGAUUCAAGUGGCAGGACAAAUUCAAGCUUGAGUUAAUGUUCAAAUUAACACUCUCCUGAGGCCACUAAGAGGUUCAGCGAACACAAGGUCGCGAAGCAAUCCAAAUUCCGCAAUUGUCCAGUGUUUUUGCAUGAAAUGCGGCUCUCAGCUGUCAAGGCUUGUGCCUUGUUCUUGACAAGAGUUAUAACAUGCUCUAGACAAUAUUGUAGUCUUAUUCAAUUUUAAAUCAAUCAAGGGAAGCAAUGAAACAAUUUUAUGCAAAUUAUAUUACACUUUCCAAUUUAUGACUUGGUCUGAGGCAGAUAUUGAAUCAUGCCAAUAAAAAAAAAAUUUAAAAAAAAAAAAAAAAAAAAAAAAAAAAAAAAAAAAAAUACUGCCUGCUGUAGGUAGAUGUAUAUGGUUACAGAUGGGUGUCAUUACCGUUGGAGUGGAUGGGAAGGCAUUCCUUGAGUAUCUUUGUCCUUCUAACAUCUAACUUAAUUAUUAUUGCAAUUCAAGGAUUCUACUGGUCUAAGCCUGAAAACAACAUAGUGAGUGUUUAGAAGAUCUACUGCUUUUUAUUCACUUGCUACUAAUAUGUAAAUCCAAAGACAGCUAACACCACAUUUUUUUUCUUGUUGCCUCACUUUUUUAACAGAUUCACCAGAUUGUCGCAUCCUUCGUGCACAGAUGAUACAUAUGGUCAUUGGGUCGAAUUACAUGGUUAGAGAUUUUGAAUCUUGCUUUUAAGAUAGGGUAAAACACUGAAUUCUCUAGCCAAUCUCUCUUUUCAGACCACAUUUUAUAAUAGUGUUUUGGGAAAUCAAGGACAUAUUAUUAGUACCUAGUGAAUCUUUUUACUUUUCCCCCUCUAUAUACAAAAUGAAAGUGAUAUAUAUAAAAAUGUAUAAGCUUUAGACUAGCAAGAGCCAUUGACUGAGUACGAGGGAAAGUGAUAUUUAUAAAAAUGGGUAAGCCCUUAGACCAGCAAAGAGGUCUUUUGAGGGUGAUGGAUCAUCCAUUACCCUCGAGAACAAAACUGUGCAGACUGGAUCCAAAGCGGACAAUAUCUUGCUAGGCCUAAAAUGCCAUAUAUAAUGAGUAAAAUCACUUAACUUCUAAUAAAAUGAUUAAAUAGUUGAUGUUUUCAUACUAUAGAAACUAAAUAAUUUCUUCCAAAAAUAGAAUAACUUACGGGAUAAUGGUAAUAUUUACCCCUCUACUUACCUCUACUUACGGGAUAAUGGUAAUAUUCAGGUUUACAGAUUCAAGUGGCAGGACAAAUUCAAGCUUGAGUUAAUGUUCAAAUUAACACUCUCCUGAGGCCACUAAGAGGUUCAGCGAACACAAGGUCGCGAAGCAAUCCAAAUUCCGCAAUUGUCCAGUGUUUUUGCAUGAAAUGCGGCUCUCAGCUGUCAAGGCUUGUGCCUUGUUCUUGACAAGAGUUAUAACAUGCUCUAGACAAUAUUGUAGUCUUAUUCAAUUUUAAAUCAAUCAAGGGAAGCAAUGAAACAAUUUUAUGCAAAUUAUAUUACACUUUCCAAUUUAUGACUUGGUCUGAGGCAGAUAUUGAAUCAUGCCAAUAAAAAAAAAAUUAAAAAAAAAAAAAAAAAAAAAAAAAAAAAAAAAAAAAACACUAGAAAAGCUCUAAUAUUCGAGAAUCUCAUCGUAAAGCAAUAGUAUGAUUUACACAUUCACCCAAUACUCAGGGUUGUUAAAAUUGUGAACAUAUUUAAAUAAAUAUGAAUUUGGAUUGUAAUUAUAUCUAUUUUUAAGUGUAAUCCUUAACAUAUUUUAAAAACAAGGUGAUGUAAUUUACAUAACAUACCAGGAUCAUUAAUGUUUAAUAAUAAUUUGUUUCUCUAAUCCUCAAAUAGGACAUACCUCGGAAGCACAAGCAAUGCAAGGUACCAAAGAUGUCAAAACCAACUUGAAAUCCUGUGUGGUUUCAAAUGUUCGCAAUUCAUCAAUCAACGAGCUGCUACUUCAGUUGAUAGGAACUGCUUCCUAUCAAUAAAGAUUUAUGUUUGUUUAGAACUGAAACUCUCCUUUUCAAAUAACUCUUAACGAUAGAAAAGAUACCAACUCAAAUUUUAAGUUACCUUCGUGCAAGAAUUUCUCUGUUGAUCAAAUAAUGAGAGGCCUUAUCCAACACUGGGCAGAGACUUGACUACAAGUAACAUCAAUAGCAAUCUUGCAGUUUCCAGCUACAAAUUCAACUUGAGAUAUAAAAAGAUGCAGAUGCAUUAUAUUCUCACUUCCCAGGGAGGUCACUCCACAUCUGCCUAGCAAAGCAGCUCAUCUGUGCUAGUUGCUCACGAUUGGCUUGUAAAAUGCACCAUAUGCUACAAUCACAACAAACUUCUCUGUGCGGCUUGGGAUAGAUCAUAGUAAGUUUCUGUGUGAACGCUUCAACCUAAUAUGAAGGACAAAGAAAUCAAAAUGCAAACAUUAGAAAAUAUGCUUAAAAAACAAGUGAACAAUAGAUAUGAAGAAAACUCAAAUCCCAAGUCUCCAACGAAAUGAUUUUGUGAACUCAGACUAAACUUUCUUCAUAUCUAACAACAUAUUAGAUAUGAAGAAAGUUUAGUGAGUUGUAAUUUCCUGGCACUCUAUGUGAUUCUCCAAUCCAUUGUCUCUAGUUAACUGUGUCAUUUCGAACUAAUCCACCACUUUGUAAAGCUUGUUGAUAAAGUUCAUGCAACUUAAUUGAUGUAUUGAUCAGCAUAGCCAUUAUCGUCCCAAGCAUACUAAUUCAGGUAUUUAACCAAUCCUACCAAAGAACUAACAUAAUUGAUGAGAAACCCAAUUACGAAAAUGAUUAUGCAAUAUCAUUCAUGCAAUCUUUACUAUUUCAAUAUUGAUAACCAAUAAAUAUUCCUCCAUUUAAAUUGAAAAUUAAAUUAAAUGAUAAAAUAAGGGCAAAAUCAAGGAGUUCACAUGCAGCACUUGAUGUUGAGAUCGUGUUUUGGGGAGUUUGAGCUAAAGAUUGAUAAGGACAGAGACAAGACCUACAUACCGCCGCAUAAUCAUCAACACUAGGAGGAAUCUACCCAGCUAACUGCUGCUUCUUUCUUGAUAUUAUUCCUUUCCAUUAUUACUCUUAUUUCUGAUGCAUUUUCCCAUUGUCCCAUAUCGGCAUACAUGUUGUAUAACAAGACAUAUGGAACUGAGCUAUCUGGUUCGAGUUUCAUUAAUGCUUCAGCAGCAAUACGGGCAAUCUCUGCAUUGUUAUGGACCCUAGAAGCACCCAAUAAUGCACCCCAAACAGCCUUAUCUGGCUUAAAUGGCAUGCCAUUGAUCAAAUCCAAGGCCUCUUCAAGCUGUCCAUGCCGACCCACAAUGUCAACUAGGGAAGAGAAGUGUUCAAUCCUUGGCUCGAUGCCAUAUUCACUAACCAUGGAUUUAAAUAUCCCUCGACCUUCUUCAACCAGUCCAGCAUAAGCACAGGCAUUCAGAGCAGAAAUAAAUGUUAUAUAAGUAGGCUGCACUUUGGAAAUUCUCAUUAAUUUGAAAAGUUCCAAGGCCUCUGCAGCAUAACCAUGGGAUGCAUAUCCUCCAAUCAUUGCAUUCCAAGAAAUUACUUCUUUAUGCGGUUUCAUUUCAUCAAAAAUGGUCCAUGCCUCAAUUAUUGCCCCACAUCUUGAGUACAUCGUGAUGAGGGCAUUAUUCAAUGGCACAUCUGGGAUAACUGUCUUUCUGACCAGCUGAUGAAUCUGCAUACCCAAGUGCAGAUCCACAAUUCCAGAAGAUGCACUGAGAAGCGAAGAUAAUGUGUGUCGGUCAGGUUUCUCUCCUUCAACUUGCAUCCGAAAGAAGACCUUAAUUGCUCCUUUAUAAUCCUCCUUCUUCUCAUGCCCCGCAAUCAUGGAAUUCCACGACACCAAAUUCUUCUGGGGCAUCCUCUCAAAAAACUCAUGAGCAAGUUCCAAAUUACCUACCAGGGCAUGUCCUGAUAUCAUUGAAUUCCAUGAAAAGGAAUCAGGAUUUGGCAUUUUGCAAAAGAGGUUUGACGCCUCCUCCAUAUCUGAGACAUGAACAUAUCCACUAAUGAUGGUAUUCCAUGAAAAAGUGUCUAGUACAAUCAUUUGGUCAAAGAGUUCCCUAGCAGAAACAAUAUCUCCAGCCUUCACAUAGCACAUUAUCAUGGUAUUCCAUGACACCACAUUUCUCUCAAACCUCCCUUUACUUCCUUUUUGUUUGUCAUUAUUACUUGGCAUCUUAUCAAAAAGUUUCCGAGCUUCAUCCACCCUUCCUCUUUGACCAUAUCCCGCAAUCAAAGUAUUAUAAGCAUGCACCAACUCCUCUUUCCCACUAUUAUUAUUUCCAUAGUCAAGCAAAAUUUUUGCAGCUUCCUCAAGCUUCUCAUUAUGAAUAAGACCCGAUACAAGUGCACUCAACGAUGUUGAAUCCCUCUCUGGCAUUCUCUCAAAAAACUCAAUUGCACGCGCCACAUCACCAUUUUGCAAAAAACCAGAAACUAUAGCAUUCCAAGAAACAGCAUUUGGCUUAGGCAUUGUAUUAAAAAGCUGCAGAGCCUCCUCUAUUCUCCCAUUCCUUGCAUACCCACUAAUCAUUGUGUUCCAAGAAACGCAGUCCCUCUUUGGCAUUUUAUCAAACAAGCACCUUCCCUCCUCUAUAAACCUCUUCCCACGACAUGACACAUACCCCGAAAUCAUCAAAUUCCACGACACAACAUCCCUCUUUGGCAUUUCAUCAAAAAGCUUUCUUGCUUUAGUCAUCUCACCCUGUCUCGCAUACCCACUGAUCAUUGAGUUCCAUGAGAUGGUGUUUCUUUGCUCCAUUUUAUCAAACAAUGCCCUUGCAUCAUUAAUCUGACCUGUCUGGUUGAAACGCGUGAUUUUUUUAUUCAGGGAAAACAAGUCUCUGUCGCAAUCAUUAAAUGAACUCUUUGAUUUUGGAGCCGAUGCAAAACAGCUAGCUUCUAUGCUGAUGUAUGGCUUCCGUCUAGUCUGAAGCUUCCAUUUGCAUGAUGCGCCAAGGGCAAUUCUCAACCUGAGCAUAAUUUACAGAACAAGUUUACUGAACCUCUAAGAUUCAUUCAGCAACUGAUGAAUUAAACAAUCAAACUUUUUAUCAGAAAGUUAUUCAUUUUCUUAAUAUAUUUAGUUUUGCUCAGGUCACAUCACACGCUUGUCACACUCUUAACUUCUGAAACCAACAAAAAGAAUUAGGCGGUUUCAAAAAACGGUCAUCUAAUGGAACCUGCCAUAUUUGUCAAGCUAACUAAGAGUUUUCUUCACCUGUUCAACCUAUAAAAAUUUUUAAAACAAUUAUAAUCUACUAAAAAAAUAUUUUUUUUUUUAUAAAACUAAUAAUUGGCUAUAAAUAAAGGACAAUAUAAUUACCAAACCAGAAAUUACUAAUGCCACAGCUAGAUAUGUUAUUGACUUUUGAUUUGACAAUACUAUCUUAUAUGUAAGACGAUACUAUCCUUAUAUGUAAUAUUCUAAAUUUAUCAUUUUAUACUCUUAAAACUAUUCUUAUUAACUUCAAAUCUAUUCAUCUAUUUUUAUAUCAAUUCCAUACACAAUUUUUUCAUAUAGCCGACCCCCACUAGUUUGGACCUAAGGCUUGGUGGUGGUGGUUGUUUUUCCAUAUACAAUUUUUUCAAGAGAGAAAUAUUAACUUUGACAAACAUAUAAUAGCUAAACCUAAUACUUGUUUCAUCCUAUUAAUUAAUAAUGAAAAUUCGAAAAUCAGGACAACAAAAUUUAAAUGCAGAAAUAAAUAAAUAAAUAAAUAAAAUGAAAUUCUCAAGAAUACAUAUCAAACUAAAAAAUUUAAUUGUCUUCUUUAAUAAAAUAAUAAAAAAUGAACAUUAUUUUUCCCCAUUAAAUUUAUUCUUCUAAAUCCCUGAAAAUGUUAUUUUCCAGUUAACUCUGGUACCUGUUUAUAAAAUUAAAAAACAUUUCACAUGAACUAUAUAUUUUAGCUGCUUUUAAAAAUUUCACAUGACUAUACCAAAAUUUCCCUAAUCUCAGUUCCUUUGCAACCAAAACAUUUUUCCAUUCCUAUGGUUUGUUUAUUAACUGAACUAGCCAGUAUCUUACUGGUAGAUAAUUUGAUUUGGUAUAAUUUACUCAAAAAUCAAGUUGAAAAAAAAAAGCAGAACAUAUAUCCUCUCUUAUAAAAUGCUUACCGUGAGGAAAAUGAUAAAAUUACAGUCACGCAAAGAAGGCAAUACCAAAUAUGGAUUUUCUUUCUUUUCUUGCAUGUUCCCAAACAACUAAAGUGAUCUCUAGCCAUAUUUUCUCAGCCACCAAAAAAUUAGAAAAUAUAAUUACAGAAUUCUUAAUAUGCAAUUCGCAAAGUAAAACAAAUUAAAGAAGAGCUAAAAAAUGAAAAAGAAGGAUUGCUCACAUAGAUGUUGACAGUGAACUAAGUCGCUGCAGGACUGCACCUGCCAACAUAUUGAAUGGUGGUCAAAGACCGCUUUUGCUUCCUCCCAUUUUGAUUACUGCACAAAAAAUACCGGCAUAAAGGCUGUCAAGUAAAAGAGAUUCUCUAGAUUUCUGUCUCAGAUUCUAUAUCAAACAUGAAAAUAGAAAUUUGAGGCAAACGACAAUCAAUUUAUCUAAGAAAAGAUGAGUAAACAAAAAGUUAAAGUGAAAUGUGUCCAAUAAUGAACCUGAAUUCACAAAAUCAAAAAUAAUUGUUGCCUUCUUCCCUUCUAACUCUUCAAAAUUUCAGCUCUUUCAUUCAAAAUCUUCCCAAUCUCUUGCUAAUUCUGGAUAUUCAUGGAGUCUGGAAUCAAACGGUUAACAGAGAGGGUAGUUUCAUUUUUAUUUCAUCAAAAUUUGAUGAAAUGGAACAAAACUUGGGAUUUGGUUUGGGAAAUCACAAGGAAGUGUUGAAUUGAGAAGAAAAUAUUUAGAACUUUGAGAAGAGGACUUGGGUUGGUUUUUUGCUUAGUGACAUAAACAGGUUAGGAGGAAUGUGGCCUUUUUUUCACUCUUUUUUUGAAUGAAUUUCAAUGUUUAAGAGUAAAAGGUCAUAAAAAAAUUUAAUAAUAGUUGGACUUGUGCGGAGCUCGCCCGCAUGCAAGGUCCAACUUUAAAUAAAUAAUUAGUCAUUUAUCAGCAUAUUGUGGAUGGCAACGGGUCAGGUACACAAAAAGUGUCGUAUCCCAAUCCAAACUCACUUAAAUAUAAGGUACCUGAAUCCAUUUAAAAAAUUACCCCUGCAUUACCCAUAUUCGUCCCAAAUUGAAUUAGCAUUACCCAUUUGCAAUCCGGAUUCAUAGAAACAACCGUUUAACACAAAAUGAACAAAAUGCAUACAACACACAAUACACUAAACUGUAUAAACACUUGAUUAUUAUCGAACCCUUAUAAAAUAAAGAAAAUAGCAUGCUGUUAUUUUUACCACUCCAAUUGUCAGAAAUUGUAUGUAAUUACAUAGUUUUUACAAUUCAAAGAAACUUCAAGAAUCUACUAACUUAAUUAUAUAAUGGAGAGCAAGAAUGAAUACAUUUAAACUCCAGGUCUACGAAUAUGUGGCCUGUAAGUAUUUGGUCAAUAUAGUUUCUUGAAUCCCUGGACAAAAGAGACAGCUUAUUUGAUGAAAGUAAAAAUUAUUUAACUGCUGAAAAAGAAGAAUGCAUAAUGCAAUAAUGCAAUGUAUAGAGAAUGUAUAAUACAGUGUUGAUAUAUGGUUGUUAUUAGUUGUGUUUUCCAAUGCUUAUUUGUAGCAGUUCAUAUUAGUGAAGGUCUCACUGAUUACCUAAAUAAACCAAAUGAAAUAUAGGCAAUUUGAAUUAAUUAGUAAUCUUUAUUUCCUUGUGUAUGAGCUAAUGGAAAAUUUCUACAAAGGAGAGAGGGAGAAUAUGAAGAAUCAAUGUUAGAUUGUUGUUCCAGGAUUAGAUUUCAUUCCCAUCUGAACUUUGGCAGUCUUACAAAUCAGUUUCUAAUUUUGUGAAACUUAUGAAAAUUGUUCUGCAUGCCUACUGUAUAAAGUUUAUGCAUCUUUUGUCAGUUCAACUAAAGAAAAUAACACAUGCUGAUUUUACUUUAAAUAUUAAAUAGUAGCAUUUUUACGGAAAAGCCUUACCCUACAACCUACUGAGGAUGAUUUUGAUCAGAAGAUACAUAUUUAUUGAUCAAUCGUUUAGGUUUUUCAAUGAAAUUUUUGAAAUGCAUUUAGAAUUAAAUGCUUAACAGAAUCAUUUAGAUCUUUAGAAGUUAAGGAUUUUAAUCAACUUGCUUCAAUUUCACUCAUUUAUGUAUAAUUUUCUUGGUGUCUUUGCAAUUACAGAUACCAUCCAACACUUAAGUACAAAGAAUUCUGUACACUGGGAUGAUUCUAUUGUCAUUAAACUUGUUUUGACCGGCAUUUUAAGGAACUGAUUUUUCUAAACAAGAUUUACAAUCAGCAACAAAGAUAAAAAGAAACAAAAGAAAAGAAAUAAAAACUGCAGAAACAGGACAAGACAAAACCAGCAAAAAGAACAAAAGGAAACCAAAAACCAAAAAGAACUAAAGCGGCAAAACCAAACCAAAGAAUAAAAUAAGGCCCAAAGCAGCAGUAACAGUUUAAAAAAAAAAAAAAAAAAAAAAGAAAAAAGAAAAAAAGAGCAUAAGAAACCAAUUAACUUAGUCUAUCAUAUCAACGGCUAUUUACAUUCACAAAAUCAAACCACAUACUCAAUUUACAGUAAAGUGAAGAAAACAAAAAACGAAAUUAUUGACAGAGCUUUAACUUUAACAGUAACAAAAAUACCUUGCGAUUUGCGAGCCACAGAGCUAGUCUUGAACGAGACACAGAGCUUGUCGGCGGAGAUCGCCGCUCUUGAGGCGCGCUCGUCACUCGUCGGAUAAAAGGCAACAGGCAAAUCGAAGAUGAGAGACUAAGGCAACAAGAGAAAAAAUCAGAUCGAGGCAAAACUACUGCCUCGCGAAGAACGAAUUGAACUUUGAUUUAAAAAGUUAAUUCAAAACGACGUGGUUUGGUUAAGGCAUUUUCUGUGUCAAAACUUCGUCGUUCUGGUAGUGAAGUGUUAGUUAUUUUCUUCCUUUCUUUUUCUGGCCUAAUACAGAGAGAUAAUUAAAAUUUUAUGUAAUUCAGUUAUAAAUUUAAUUUUUAUAUCUGAUAUGCAAAAACUAAAAAUUUAAAUUUUGUGAAUUUAAUUCUAUAAUAUAAUUAAAUUAAAUUUCAUAAAAAAGUGAAAUUUUAGAAUGAAUUUCAUAAAUUUAAACAAUAUAUUUUCGCAGAUAAUAGUAGAUAAGUUCUUGAUGGGCUUAAAUCUAUGUUUCUGUAUUUUACACAACCAGCAAUUGAACAGAAAAAAAAAACAUUCGACCAUAAAAUGACAAGCAUCUAUUCCAAUCAAAAUUAUUAGUGAUCCAAGUUAUCAAAUGGGCCUCAAAUAUACACAAAGCCCAAACACAACAGAUACACACUCAUCAUCCUUAUAUUUAUUCAUCAAGUGGGCCCAAGCCAGCAGGAGGCGGUUACCAAAUGUACAAAGUUAAAUAUAUAGAGUAGAUACAACAGCUGCUAGCAUCUGCUUCUUGAAUGUUUUCACUGUAUUGAACUAUUCUACAAUACAAUUUUUGUCUCCAUUAAUACACUGUUUCAGUUUUCUCUUUCUCUGGUGAAGAAUGCUUUGAUAAUCUCAUCAGUUAGCAAACCUCAAUAAUCUUUUUUGUUGUUAAAAUUUUGAUUAACAGCCUAGCCUGAUAUGGUGGUGACAAUUCUAAAUGAAAACAUAACCAAUAAUUAAAAAAAAAAAAAAAAGAAAUAAAAAUACCUAUGCUUUUAUUGUGUUUCAGCCAUUCAUUUUGUUAAGAUUUGAUGGGAGGUUUAAAUUGAUAUAAUCUUAAAUUCAUAUAUUGAAUUGAAAAAAUUACGAAAUCAAAUCGAAGAAAAAGUAAACUUUCUUUUUAUUUGAUGCAAAUUGAAUUGCUUAGCGUGACUAAUAAACUACAGGCCCAUUUUGGCCCAUUCUCCAAAUUUUGGGCCCUCAUACUGGGCCUAAACGCACUCGUACUUUUACCCAAUUCCUCUUUGGCAAAAACCCAUAACUAUAAAUUUCCAUCUAUCUCUGGUAGGAAAAAGAUAAAAUUCCAACUAGUCCAUGAGGUUCAGCCAACUGUACAGUUUCAUCCCAAUAUUUAAAAAUAAAAGGAAUUAAGGAGUCCCAAAAUUUAAUUCCAUUAAUGAAAUAAUAUUUUUAUUUCCAUAGACCUGGUUUAGGUAGGUCUAAACCUUAUUAUAAUUAAUAUUAAUUAACCAAUAGUCAAUAAAUAUUUUUUUGAAAAAUAUAAUUCAUUAACUAUAAUAUCAAACAUUACGAAUAAUCAUAUAGAUCAGACAAUGAAUUUUACUAUCAUAAGCUAAUAGAGUUCGUUGAUCUUUUAACAAGCUAAAAUAAUUAUAUAUAUUCUUUUGAAUGAUAAUACUAAAUAUAAGAAAAUAUAAUAUUAUAUCUUUCCACUUGAAGAUGAUCUUGAUAAAAGAUAUAAAUAUUCUUAUUACCAACUAGUUUUUUAAUUGAUUUGGAUAGUAAAAUAAUAAUUACUUUGGAUCUUUUAUAUCUGAAUUGUUUUUAGCUAAAUUGUUUUUUCAAGGACUUGUAAUAUAUAACAUACACAUAUGAAUUCUCGCCAACAUACAUCAAUAGUAUCAAUAGAGGAACAAGUCGCACUAUUAGACUUCGUUGAUCAAAGAUUCACAUUUACAAAUCAAUAUCAAAAGUUUCCAACCAAAUAAAAUCAAAUAUUAUACUUUUAUUUAUAAUAAACUCUCAUACAGAAGGAACAAAAAGCUCUAAAUACGGAAACAAAAUAACAAUAAUAAAAAUCAAAACAAAUAUAUUAUAUGAUAAAUAGAUAUGAAUUUAUUAAAAUGGCUAAGAGAAUUUAAAAGAGAAAAAGAGAAGAAGUUGAAUCAAAGGAAAAAAAUAGAAUGUAGGAGAUUAUCACUAAUCAACAUCAAGCGGCCACAAACUAAAUUUUUAAACAUUUUAUAAAUUUCAAUCAAUGACUUCGUUAUUUUAGGUGUCUCGUCAUGCCGAAGAGAUAAUAAAAAAUCAAAAUUCGAAAGACUCAAGAAAGAUCAUCUUUUCACCAUUCAUAUUUAAAUAUAAUAUAUAUAACGGCAGAGCUUCUUAUGGUCGAAAGGUCGCUGGGCAAUUCUAAGAAAUUUUUUUUAAAAGAAAAAUUCUUAUGAAAUAUUAUAUUUUGGUCUUUAAAAAUAUAAAAAAAUUAUAUUUUGAUACCCUAAAAGUUUUUAAAACUUCAUUUAGCUUGUUUAAAGUAAUUGUCUUAGUUCUGUGCUGAAUAUAUAUAUAUAUAUAUAUAUAUAUAUAUAUAUAUUAAAUAUUCUAUGUAUUAUCCCUAUCACAUUUGCAUUGAUAACCAGGACAAGAAGCUUGUAGCCAAAUGUUAGAGUACUGACAACUAAUUCCCACUGUGAAAUGUUUUAUUAGCCUCUGAUCAUCAAUGAUUAAGUGGCCCACUUGUUUUAAUUUGUCCAGAACUUAUGGAAUAAUUAAUCAAGUAUUAAUAAUUAUUUUUGGAAGCGAACAUUCUAGAUAUACCUUUUUUCUCUUGUUCAGCUACUGCAACAUUUUUGUUGGAGAAUCAAGAACUUAUGGCUUAAAAUAUUCGCAUAUACUAUAUUAAGUACUCCCAUCUUCAAAAUAGUUCAUUUUCUAUUUUUACACAGAUUAAAAAAAUAAUAAUUAUUAUGAGUUUUGACAAUUCUAUUCCUAUAACUUUUCUAUCAUACCAUUUUAAAUAACAUAUGAGCAAUUAUUAUAUUUAAAUAAUAAGUAAAAAUUAAUGAGGGUUAUUGAAAAUAAGAAAAAAUUUAAUAAGGGUAUAAUAGACAAUUUCAUGAUUAACUAUAAUACAAAAAAGAAAAAUAAACCAUAUUUUAGGACAAAUUAAAAAGAAAAGAUGAAAUAUUUUUUUGAGGCAGAUCUAUUAUUCUUCUCACAAUAAUGAUUUUAUAAGUACAGUUUUUUUUUUUCUUUAUACUCAAAUGAUAUGAGAAGCUAAUUUUAUAAAAAACGAAGAUUAAUUUGUCUUUGAAUUUGUUUAAUAGGAUAAAAAAUGUCAAGAUUUGAUCUUUUUAGAUCAAUUUAACAUCUAAACUUAUUUAAAAUAAUUAAAAAGAUCAGAUUUAAUAUUUUGGAUUAAUUUAGUCCCUGACUAUUCGCUGUAUUUAUAACGUGAGAAUUCUUAUAUAGACAUUUAUUAAAAUUAUAGUUGGAAUCACGUGGUAUAAUUUAUUGAAAAAUUUAAUUAAAUAUCAAAUUGAGGAAAUAAUAUAUGAAAUAUAUUAUAUCCCUCUUUAUCUUGAUCUAUCAUUUUAAAUUCAUAAAUAUGUACUAAUUUAAAUAUUUUAAAAUUGAACUUUACUACUAGAUUAUUGCAUAUGCAGUUCAUGCAUUUCUCAUGUUAAACGAAUUCAAAGUUACACUACAUAUUUUAUAAAUUUACUGUGUUAAAGAAAUAAUAUUUUCGUGAUUUUAAAAUUCUAUUCAGAAGUAUUGGAAAAGUUUGAUCUAGAUAUUCCUAUUAAAUUGAAUCAAUUUAUUAUUUUGUAAAAAUCAAAAUAAAUUUAGUGGCUGAAUUGAUUUAAAAAAAAUCAAAUCUGACUUUUAAAUCCCAUAAAUAAGUUCGUGAGCUAAAUUAGUCUUUAUUCCAUUUUAUAACCACAAAGUCGUGUUUAAAAUUUUAAACAAUAUGGUUCUUAUGUUGCCUGUAACGGUUUCGUAUGCUCUAGUAGCUUUCUCUCUUUUGUCCAAGGUUUCUUGUCCUGCCAACAUGGAGAGGGACUUUAAUCAUUUGUCAAUCGCUGAUGAUGAGGAAGAAGGCUUGCCUGUUAACGCAUCUUCAGAUGCCACCAAGUCUACCUACGAAUUUUGUCUUGUCGACAUGUUCUUGACUUGCGGGACUGUGAAUUUUUAGUCCAUGCGAAACACUUUCGCAGAUUUGUGGCAUUCGCUCGGAGGGAUUAUAAUUACUGAUUUGGGAGCCAAACGUUUUCUGUUUCGGUUCUACAACAAAGUGGAUUUGGAUAGGGUUUUGAAUGGUGCCCCAUGGACUUUUAAUCGACACUUGCUGGUAUGGGGUCUGAUAAAAAAUGAUGAGGACCCGCUGCUGAUUCCUUUGCUAUACUCGGAUUUCUGGGUUCAGGUACAUAACUUGCCGGUCGGGUUAAUGUCUGCGGCAGUGGCCAAAUCAAUAGGGAAUUUCAUUGGUACUUUCAUUGAAUAUGACAUUAAGACUGUUCAUUUUGAUCCCAAUCAAUUUAUGAGACUGCAGGUUAAGUUGGAUAUUCGUACCUUUACGUAGAGGAAAGAAGUUGAUUGAUUCUAAUGGUAAUGUUCAUUAUGUCCAAUUCCAGAAUGAAAAACUUCUUGUGUUUUGCUAUACUUGCGGUCGCUUGGGACACACCGAUUCGUUCUGUAAAUUACAAUUGCACAAGUCUAAAAAAGAACUCAAGCCAGCUUGGGAUGAUCGAAUAAGGGUGCCGAUUCGCCGGAAAAUUCAGCAAACAACCAUGGCUGCAUGAUGAUAGAAAGUUUGAUGAUACUCCAAUCCAGGCAGAUAUUUCGGGAUGUGUGGGCGGGAAAUAUGGAGUUUUGAAAUCCCAACAAUUUUGAGCUUCCUUUUAUGGCACGAUAGUUAAUUUUAAUGUUAGUACUAAUCCCAUAGGCUUUAUGGAGACUGAUACAAAUUCUUUGAAUGGGUCCAAUACUGAUGGGCUUGACGAGGAUGUGGUCUUAGAAGAUGUGGGUGAAAUGAAGAAGAGGCCCCGAUGAUCCUUUUUGGUGAGGGUAUUAAAGUGGCUAGUGAUCCUUGAGGAGGAUCCUUUUUGCUGUAGAAUCAACGUGGUAGCUCUACUGUGGAUAUUGCCGUGAAGUACCUAUCGAAUUGGAGAGAAGUGUGUCUGCCACAUGAAGCUGCUGUGACGUCCAUUUCAGUGCUUCAUUGACAUGCACAUAAAGCACCAUCCAUUCACGCUCACAAUUUUGUUUGGAUUUGCUUCAUUGAUGGAUCAGUGUUCACAACCAUGGAUUUCAUUGGCUAUGCUUAUGUUAUUGAGGACAGUGAGGGACGGUUUCAACGUGCAGUGUCAGGGUUUCAGGAAGGCAAUGGCUCGGCGGUGGUGAUGGAGGCUAUAGCUCUUCGUUCCUGCCUUUCAUAUGCUCGUGAUUUUCUAUCUUUAAAUGGGUGUAUUUUUUCAAAUUGCCAAAAUCUUAUGAAUGCUCUCAAAUCCCAUUGUUUUAGAUAAUUUUGAAUUUGGUUUGAUUGUUCUUGAUUGUAAGCGAAUUUUAGAGUCUAGACAUGAUAUUACUGUCAGGUGGAUUCAGAGACAAGCUAAUAUGGAUGCUCACACUCUUGCUAGAGCAUCUAUACAUCAUGCUCGUUUCCAAAUUUGGGAUGAUGUUCGUCUUGUUAGUUAGAUUUUUUCCAUUGAGAUAAUGCAAUAUUAUUUCAUUUAAAACAAAUUUAAAACAAUAUAUAAAUUUUAUCAAACAAAUUUAAAUUAAUAACUCUAAAAAAUUUUAAUUUUUAGAUAUUAAAUGGUGUUAUUAGAUGUAAACUAAAUUUAUAUUGUUAUUUCAAUUUAAAUGUCUAAACAAAAUUCUCAAAUUCUUUUUUUGUUAAUAUUUUUUUGGAGAAAUAUAAUUCAUUAAUAAUAAAAGUAUUACAAAUACUCAAUUAGAUCAAAUAUAAAACUUAUUAUCAUAAUUAAUAAAAAGUUCGAUGAUCCUUCAACAAUAAAAGAAUUAUCUAUAUUUUUUUGAAUAGUAAAACUAAAAUUAAAAGAAACAGUUGGAGUUUUCCGCUUGAAAAAAACUUUGAUCGAUAUAAAUCUUCAUAGUAACAACUGAUCCUUUAAUUGAUUUGGACGAUAAAAUAACUUUUUCGAACUUUAUAUGCUUGGAUUGCUUUUUCAAAAAUUUGUUGCAUAUAACAUAUGCGGAUGAGUUUAAACCACUAUGGGUUAAUAGCAUGAAUGAAGGAACAGACUGUACUAUCAGGUUCCAUUGGUUGAAGAUACACAUCAGUAAAACAAGAUCGAAAUUCUCCAAUCAAAUAAAAUCAAAUGUCAUACCUUUUAAUAAUAAAUCUUCACAAGGAACUAAACCCUCUCAAAAGAAUGGGCAAAAAAACUCCAAAUAUGGAGACAAAACAAAUCAAUAACAAAAACAACAAUAACAAAAAUAUAUCUAUUAGAAGAAAAUGGAUUUGAGUUUAUUAAAAACAAAUAAAAGAUUAGGAGCCAGAAGAAAAAAAAAAAAAGUAUGGGGCUACUACUGAUUAACAAUGGCAACCUCAAACAAAAACUAUGAUUAAAUAAAUCAGAGAGAAAAGAGGAGGAGAGAAACCCUAAAACUAUCGAUUUUUUUUUUGUUAAUAUUUAAAAUGACGGUUUUUUUUUUUUUUUUUUUUUUUUUUGCGAAUGUUAAACAAAUCCCUAAAUAGUAUAGGUAAUAAAAUAAAAAAAAAUAUGUAUCACUUUAAUAAUAAUUUCAUGUUAAAAAAUGUUGGAAAAAUAGAGCUCUUGAAUAGGAAAAUCCGGUAUCGAAUUUUUGCUCUGCUAGGGUUUAUCACUUUAACAUUUAAAAAAAAAAAAAAACUAUUUUCAAGACAGUUCAUUUUCUAUUAUUUCUUUUUAAUAUUGAAUAUUAAUUAAAUAACUUACUUUUAAAAAUAUUUUUCCUUGACUUUUUUAAACACUUUAAAUAUAGAAAAAAUUCAAAAAUAUUUUUUAAAUAAAUUAUUUUCAAGAAAAAAUCUUGGAUAAUGGAAAUUUGGAAAAUUAGAUAAAUAAUAAUAAAACCUUAUGCACAGCAAACAUUUGUUAUAUGGUGUCCCAAGAAUAGUAAAACUUGUGGCUGAAUUUUGUAUUUCUUUUUUAGAUCACUCUCUAUCACGCUCUUAACAAUUCCCAUUUGCUGAAGUGGUCCCCAUAAAAGUAUUCUUGAUUGAGAUUUGAAUACGAAUUUCAAUUAAGUAAGCUUCAAGUUACAAACAUCAUCUUCACAAAAUUUCCUUCAUUGGUGAAGCAUUUAUCAUUUGGUAAGUUUUCUCAGAUUUAACACUAUGUUUGGAAUUGGGAGAUUUUAUGAUAGGAAGAAAAUUUUGAAUGGAAAAUAAGAAAAGAAAGCUAUUUUCCUCCUGCUUAAAUGUAAAUAAAAUUUGAAAGGAAAGAAAAUAUUACCAAAAUCCUUUCUGUCCCAUAUUUUAUUAAUCUCUCCAAAUUGGCGAGAAAAUAGGAGAUAAAUGUAUAAAAGGAUAGAAGUGUAAAUUUACAACAAUACAAUUUUCUUUCCUCCAUAUUUUAGACUUUUCUAAAUAAUAUAUAUAUAUAUAUAUUUUUUAUUUUUUUUUUUCCUUUCAAUCUAAACAUAAAAUGGAAAAUAAAGAAAAAAAGAGCUCUUGUUUUACUCGGCACAUGUACAAAAUAUAAGACAUCAAUGUGUUGAACAUGCAAAUCCCAUGCAUGUAUCUGCCAUGCAGGGAUUCAUAAUUAGCUCAACUGAAAAAUUGUUAAGAUCUUUCUUCAUUGUCUUUUUGUCAUAUAAAAAAACACGAGAAAAAUAAAAUAAAACAAGAAAAGGAAGCGCAUGCACAUGCCUGUAAAUGUAUAAUAUACAUCCAUCCAAAUGGGCAAAGAUUAGAUGCCUUCUCACCAUUUUUCCGCGCAUCCAAAACCGUAAGGGGCCACUCACACUUGAUGUGCAGGAUACUUAAAUCAGUUACGCAGCCAGAAAAUUAAAAUUAGAGAUAAAAAAAUUUUCAAGAGUUAACAAGAGUGAGAUUAAAAAUUUUAUUAUUUUAAAAGGAAAAAUAAAAAAUUUUAUUAUUUUUUAUUAUUAGACUAAUUUUAAAAGGUAAAAUAAUAUAUUUUCAUAUAUUAUUAGACUAAUUUUAUUUUAAAAUUUAAUAUUAUUUCUUCUAAGUAUUUUUUUAUGAAUAGAAAUUUUAAUAGAGAAUUAGAGAUCAUCCACUGGAUUUAAAAGUUAAAAUAUAUUUAUAAAUUAUUUCAUCUAUUACACUUAAAUUAUCAACUUGUAGCUUCUUCAUACAAAAUAAGGAGAUAAUUAAUUUAUCUUAAAUCUAUAAAAUUUUCAUUUGAAAUUAUUUUAAUAUUUAUUUUAUAAAAUAUUAUUAAGAGCGAAUGAAUAGUGAGAUCCAAUAAAGAAGAGUAAAAAAUUAAAAAUGUAAUAUACUCUUUUCUAAAUUAUAUAAAAAAAUGACACUUAAAAUAGAACAAAAAAAAAUCUUAAAAGUUAAACAGAAUAUCGGAAGUAUAAAUAAUAGAUUUUAUUUUUUAUUUUUUAAAAAUCGAAUUAAUCAGAGCAAUACUAACAAAAUAAUAUUGUAAAGUUACUUAGGACAUCCCUUCCUCUUAUCUCUCCGUGUGGUCGCUUUCAUUGGCUUCAUAAUCAUACACAUAUUCAUGGCCCACUUACGAAGCCAUCUCACAACCACAAAAUAUAAUUUUCAAAAGAAAAAUGACCGUUCGGACAGCUUGUUAAGUUUUUCCACACUUCUUCCUCACUUUCCCACUCUCUAUAACGGCUACAAUAGAAGGCUCUGGAACAAUCUACCUGUUUUAAGACGGCGGGACACGUGUAACCAAUCACAUGGGCUGCUUUUGCUCGAAAAUGGAGAAGAAUAAGCUGUAGUGUUACUCUUAGAUGUGAAUUAUUUGCUUCAAAUGAUGCUUUAGUUGUUUCUAGUGAAAAUAGAGCAAUAGUAAUUUUUUUUUUUUACCAUUUAAUAUGAUGUACAAUGAAUUUUUUACACUAUGUACUAUUAUGCAGCAGUUACAACAUUUUAAAGUCCAUCAAAUAGUAUAAUCCAUUAGAAAAUCCAAUAAAUUUCUCAUUGCUCUUUUGAAUAAUAUUUACUAUAUUUGUGCAUAUUAAUUAUUAAAAAAAAUUUAUUUACACCCGGUGUUUGGAUCUAUUUAUACAUCAAAUCAAUCACAAAUAAUAUUUUGAUUUAAUCAAAUGUAUUUCUAAUCAUAUAUUAAAAAAAGAUAAAAUAAUAAUUUUUUUGAUUGGUUUACUGAAUGAGACUACCCAUAUACUAAGUGUUGAUAAAAAUUUCCUUAAUUAUUAUAGAAAAGUUAGAAAUAAUUCAAUCGCUUUUCCUUAACUUACUUUUUUGCACUUAAUGUAAUAAAAAAAACUUCAAAACUUUAAUAAUGUAAAAUGAUUCUUACUAAAUUGUAUAGUUAAGUCUAAUAGGAUUGUUGAGACUUUGGUUCUUAAUUUAUGAAAUUUCAAUUUUUAUCCUAAAAAAAAAAAAACAAAGUAACAGGAAAGCUCAUAUAAAUGAACAUGCAAGAGAAAAAAAAAUCAUUUUUUAACUAAAGUAAAUUAUUGCAUACUUCCCUCCUAGAUUACUCUGAAAAAUAAAAAAUAAAAUACACAAAAUUAAAAAUAUACGAGCUUUGUUAACAGAUACAUAUUACGUACAUUUACGAUUACAUUCUUAGCAUAAUAUCAAAAUUUUCAAAAACAUUACAGUUCUUUUAUUCUAUUUACAUUGUAAGUAUCUCUCUACACAGAUUAUGCCAAAAAUACUUUUUGAAUAUCAGUUAAUCAGAUUUAAAAUAGAAUCAGGUGCAGGUGAUAUUACUUAAAAAAAUAAUAUUUCACUGUGCCACGGCAUAUAAGAUAAAAGUGUAAUCGGCAUAUAAGAAGGCACAAAAUCAAGAGAGUUGACAUGAAUGGACUGCUGUUGGGAGUGUGAGUUGGACGGAUUUGAAAUAAAGAUAAGAGGAAAGGCAUAGGUGGGACCUGUUUACUGUGCCACAGCAUGAACCGUGAUGUUUUUUGCCAGCUGGUGGACACGUGAUUCUUGAUUAGUUCAAUUACUGCAUUUGAUCAAACAUGGCCCCACUCUUUGAAUAUUUAAUUUAAGAAAAAAACCCAACCAGAACACCUCAUAUUUCCUGACUGAAAUGCUUGCUUGCUGCGGGCUACUACAAUAUAUAAGAUAUAUCUAUACUGAAACCCUUUAUCUUUAAUUGGCAUUAUUAAAAGAUUUUGUAACCUUACACCGUGGAAAUACUGGAAAUGACAAUUUUAACUCAUUUAAAUGUAAAAGUUAAUUAACAAAUUUAUUUUGGAUAAUUUAUACAAAAUAUGAAUAAAUAUUGUAUUUCUAAAAUAUAAGUCGUUUAAAGUAUUGCAUGCGAUUAAUGAAUCAAUUAAUUUCGCUAAAAAUUAUAUCACUCCGUCUCAAAAUUUAAGUUGUCUAAGGUGAUAAUUUUAUCACAAAAUAUAAGUCAUUUUGAAUAUUUUAAGAAAUUACAAAUGAUUUUUUUUCUUUCAACUGUAUCCUUAUUUAUAUUAGAUAUAAUACAACGAUGUGAGAUAAAAGUAACAAUGAGAGAUAAAUGAUAAUUUGUUCAAAUUACUCUUGAUUUUGUUAGAAAUUUAGAAAAAUUAAUUGCAUUUUUAAUUCUCGUAUAAAAAUCUUAAACGACUUAUAUUUUGGACAAAUAGAGUAAUAAACUCAACAAUAAUUUGAUUUAUGAGAAUUAAUUUAAACGAUCAAAUUAUCCUUAAUCUCAAAAUCAAGUUAUUGUAUUAUGAAUAAAGUUAAAAUUGGAAAAAAGAUUAUUUGUUAAAUAUGUUUUGAAAUCAAAUAGUUUUAUGAGUUAAAAAGAUUAGAAAUAAUCAUUUUUUAAAUUCAUUUGGUGUUAAAUUGGGAUGAUAAAUUAUCAAAAAAAAAAAAAAAAUAUAUAUAUAUAUAUAUAUUUGACAAACAGAUUGAAAGCUAGUUCUUUUGAAAGUUUACUGAGAACACAAAUUACAAGCUCAUAGUAGUUAGUAGCUUGAUUAAGGAAACCCAUGAAGGACAAAAUGACAGUGGCAAAUGCCUUUGAGACCAAAAGGCUUCAGCUUCAAUUUUUUAUAACGUAACAUUUAAUAUCUUUCUCUUUAUGAUUUUUAAAUUAUUGUAAUUGCUAUCAACAGUAUAAAGUAUAGAAAAUUCAUUAUAUAUAAUAUUGAAUAAAAAAAAAAAAAGGGUGAGAAAUGUCAUUAUUUAUAGAAUUAAUUCACACAAACAUAAAUGCGAAGCUUCAUUCUACCUUUUAGGUGCUACCAUUCACUGAAGGGGAACGCACGCAUCAUUGAAGCUCAACGCCUGUCUUUUGCACUUUUCAAACUGAAUCAUUUCAUUCGUGAAAUAAAUUGAUGGAUAAAGGGCAAUUGCCAAACAAUAUUAACGGCAAAAACAAACGAGUCUUUUUUUUUUUUCUUUUUCUUUUCUUUUCAUUAGAAUAUUUAAAGUAUUGGUUAGAGGUAUAAUUAUAAAAUAUAAUUGAUCUCAUAAUUAAUCUUUUCCUUUUCUUAAUAAUAAUCAUUAUAGUCUUGCUUUUGGUGUUAUAGUUGUUUUUUUUUUUUAAUAAUAAAAAAAUAAUGUAUUAUGUCAAUCGAAUGUGAUCUGAUUGGUAUUUCCAUUCACCUUGAGAAGUUUCAAAUUUUAGAUAGUUAACUAUCAGAGUUAUCGUCAAUUUUGCUUAUAAAACAACAAGAGAGCUACCUAUAUUAUGCAGCCCACAAAAAUUCUUUAUAAUAAAUUAAAAAAAUAUUAUUUUAUUAAAAUUGAUAUAUUAUAUUUGUUAUUUAAUAGUUUGAACUAGAAAAAUAAGCUACUAAAAUUCACACAGAUUUUCUUAAAUAUAAAUUUUUACUAUGAAAAAUAGAAAUCAAAGUCAGAAAACAGAAAUGAUACAAAAUAGACACGUAAUCAUAUUUGAUGAGCAUUUCUCAUAAUACACGUUAGCUUGUUUAGCUUGUUUCGUGUAAAUUGAUGAUCCCAUUCUGUUUCGACAUAAAUGGUAUCAUUGGUUAUUAUAAACAAUUUCAAAAAUUUUUGAGCUACCACCAUAAAUACAACUUGUAUGAUUUCAAUUUUCAAAUUUAAAAGUUAUCUAAUAUCUACUUUAUCAAUGGACCUACACCUUUCCAAAUUUCUUGUUAAUCUUAUGCAUUAGAAAAUUUAGCCAAAUAAAAUUGAUAUUAUAUAUCAAUUUUAUUUAUUUUUCAAUUUAAAAUCACAAGUUUAAUUAUCGGAAAAUGCAUAUACUAUGAAGAAAAAAUUUUUAUAAUCAACUAUCCAAAAGAGAUUAGUUUACACCAAUAUAGUAGAAGAAAAAUAGUGGAAGAACACGUGACGAUUCUAAUAUGAUAUACAUAAACUAAAAAUAUUUUAAAGGAGUCUUCACUUAUAAUUUUGUUUUCAAAAUUUAAUACUUGUAAUUUGUUUUAACCAACUAUUUACUAUUUUUAAUUGAUUUUGUAAACUCAAAACUCCAUUUAUUUUUCAAAAAAUAAUUUAUUUUUAAAAAAUAUUUUUAAAAGCAAAACAUACUUGAAAAUUUGAAAUAACACAUUUUCUAUUGUUUGGUUACAAUAUUGAAAAAUUGUUAAAAAAUAUUAAAGCUUUUAUAAGAUCGAAAAAAUUUAUAAUUAUAAAAAGUUUCACAUUUUAAAAUUUUAUUAUUUAAUACAACAUAAAUAUUUAUUACGUGCUUGAUUGUAAUUUGUAUCUAAGACUUAAUCAUAUUUUAUGGACCAAAGAUAUAUUUUGUAUAGAAUCCAGAUAGAAAUAAGAGAUUAUAUUCCUAAAUCCUUCGCUAACUCUCAAUGAACUAGCAAUCACUCCAAAAUACUUAUUGAAUUGGUAUUUCAAAUAUUUAUCUAAUAAAGAUUCCACCUACAACUCUAAUGAAAAUUCUUUACCUCUGUAUAAAAGAGGGAUCAAACUCCCUACUCACACUAUUUAGGCAAUGUAAUACCAAUAUAUUUCAUUCAAUUAUAAGUAUUUAUUAUUUAUUUACUGACUUAAACAUAAAAGUGAUUGCAGGCCUAGAUGAGACCUUUAUUAUUCGUUUAUGUCUUGCAGAUUUCUACGGACCUCUCUUUAUUUUUCCUUGUUCAUUUAUGUCUUACAGAUUUUUACAUAGGCGCUAUGGAUAGAUUUUUCUAAGUCUAUCAUUAUUAAAUAUGAGAAACAAUAUUAUAAAAAAAGAUAAAUUACGAUAUCUAUCGAUGACCGUGGUCGUGAAAAUAAUGAUUAAUUAAUAAUAAAUAUGUAUUUAUAAGUUUAUAAUAAAUUUAUCAGUAUCUGAAAAAUAUUUUUCUCUUUUAGAAAAAGAAAGUUAUAAAAAUGAUUUAGUUCUCUCUUUCUUAAGGAAAAUAUCAUCUGUUGCUAAUUUUCUUGAACACUUCAAACAUUAAAAAAAAAUCUAAAAAAUAUUAUUCAGACAAGUUAUUUCUCGAAAUUAAUGGAAUCUCAAUAUUAAUUUAUUAUUAUUUUUUCCAUUGAGAAAAAAAUAUAUUAGAUUUAUUCCACUAUUGAGAAUAAAGGAAAUCAUUUAAAAUAAGAAAGCUCAAAAAGUUAUAGCCGUAAUACUAAUAGCAUUAUUUCAAAUUUGUUUGACAUGAUGUAAUCAACCGAAAUGAUAAUUACAUUAUAUGAGUAAUUACAUUAUUUGAUUAGACUUUUUUUAAUAGCGUAGUAUAAUUGAGACUACGUGUAUAAUCUUCAUCACUUAAAUUGAUGUAAUACUCAUUACAUGAAAAAACACACAUAUUGUCUAUUACAUCAAGUAAAUGGAAUACCGAUUAUAUUAAGUCAUCCCAAUCAAAACUCUACCAUUCUAGAUUAUUUAGGCUGUGUUGGGUAAUAAAGUUUUGAGUGGCUUUUAAAGUUUUGACUGGUCAAAACGUUACUUAAAAAGUUGUUUGGUAACAUAGCGUUUGGACUAGCUUUUAGAGAUUAGAAUAACGUUUUGUGAAAAGUUAACUCACGUAACGUUUAGCUUUUAGCGUUUCAUGAAAAACUACUCAAACAGCUAACAACUAAACACUAUUAAAAUAGCAAAUAGCUACCAAAAUAGCUAAUUUUGCCGAACAUAUCCUUAAUACUACCACUUCACCACCACAACCACUAUCACCGCUUCACCACCACAGCACCACCUUAACACCCACCACAACCACUGCCACAAUUACUACUCCACCACCACCACCACCACUACUGUUCCAUCACUACUUCAACCACCAUUACCGCUCUGCAACGACAACCAUCACCAUUGUUCUACCAUCACCACUACUACCACCAUCACUGCUCCAUCACUAUCACCUCAACUACCACCACCGCUGCUGCUGCCUCAACUCCUACCAUCAUCGCUCCACCACCACUAUCACCACCAUCGCUUUACCACCACCACCAUGUGGUGGUGAUAUGAUUAGUGGUGAUGGUGUGCUAAUUAUAUUACAUAUUUACAAAAAAAAAAAAAAAGAACGAUGAUUAUAUUCCUAAAUUUUCUUGAUAAUAUUAUCAAACAUAGUAAUGAAAUCUUAAUUAAAUUACGUUUUUCAUCACAUUACUUCUUUAAUUACAUUAUAUUGCCUUACAUCAAACCAGACAUAGCGUUAGCAUGUAUAUCCUCAUACACAUCAAAACUUGACUCUAAUAUCUAUGAGAAAAAUGCACAGUUAAGCCCUUAAAUUUAAUCAGUUUUUCCAUUAAACUUUUAUUUAUGAAUAUUAAGUUUUUAAACUUUUAUUUUUUUUAAAAAAAUUAAACUCUAUUUAACCGAGAUUUAAACUUUUAUUUUUUUAAAUUAAACUCUUAUUUAAUUAUGAGUUAAACAAUUAUAAUCCCAUAUGUUAUACGCGGUUGAUGGGAAAACUUAAUCGAAUUGUUAAAUCUCUUAAACUUUUAUUUUUUGAAAAUUAAGUUUUUAAAUUUGUACUUUUGUUAAAGUGAGUAUUUAAAUUAUUUCCAUUAUCAGUGAUUUGAAUUUAUUAUUUACUCACUAUCGAUUUAGAACUUAAUUUUAACUUAAAUAAAAAUUGAAGGAUUCAAUAUUGAUAAAUGAAAUUGCAGGAGCUUAGUAGACAAAACUUGAAAAAUAAGAGGCUUAAGUACAUCUUUUACCAAAUAUAAUCAAGAGUUAAUUUACACUCACACAUAGGUGAGGAUAGGAUUAGGAUAGAAGUGUGGUAAGUGCCCGCGAACUUUGAGUUAUCCAUAUCUAUAUCUGUUUAGAGCUUUAAAAUCAAUUGUAUCUAUGUUAAAUCCGUUUAAAUACCUAUAUCAAAAUCUGUUUAAAAUUUUACUGUCCGAUCCAUUCAAAAUCUAUUUUAAAUACUUGUAUUUGAUGUUCAUAAAAUUUAAACCAUUUAAACACGAACUUAUUUAAAAAAGUAUCUUCCAUUGAUAAUGGAUAAAGUAUCAAGGAUACUCACAGUAAAACUCAUUUAAUAUAAUGGAUAACAAGUAACGAAUAUUCAAACUCAUUUAGUAAAACUCCUGAAUUCAAACGACAGGAUUUGCAAGUGAAGAGAGAUGGAACCUAAAACGGUUGGCUAUGUACUCAAUGUAGAUUCACUAACAAAGUACAACAAAUGCAAAUACCAAGUAAAAAGGAACAAAUGGUUAAGAAUUCAGACAAAGUCCUAACUUCAAAGUUCAAAGUUCAAACCAUAAAAUCAUUUCAGUAAGGAGAAAUCAAACUAAAACUUUUGAAUGUUAAAAUUUCAACUUUAACCACAGAACCAAAACCCUGUUAGCUAUGUACUAACACAAAGUGCAAGAAACACCGAGUACGAACUCAAGCACAGUAAGAUUGAGCUGGAUUGCCCAUAACCCAAAAACACUAGAAUGUGUCUGGUGUGGAGGGGUCCAGAAGCCAACUUAAAUAGAAGCAGAGGGACAACACUGGAAAUUAUGAUUUAAAAAAAAAAAAAAAAAAAAAACUAAAAAGCAAAGAGAGAAACAGACAAGAAAUAACCGUUGUAGGGGUGGCUUUUUGGGUUGGAUGCCAGGCUGACGCUUGAGCCCCCCUCAGAUGAUUCAGCUCACAUGGUCUAUCUGUACACUCUGGGUCCCACCCUCCACUUUCUCUCUCUACUACCCUCUUUGGAUUAGUUGUCAAAUGAUCCUUUUAUGUUAUCAUAUUACACACUUUCAUCCUAUCUAUUUCAAAGUUACUAACUUUAGUUAAUGAGAUUUAAUCUGCCAAAUGCAUAAAUUAAUAUCUAAAUUUUAUAAGAAGAGUCUAGUAGCACCUUUAAACGUUGAAAACUUCUUUUCGUAAAAUUAUAGCUAGUAAAUGCCUUAAUUUAAAAAACCGUAUUUAUUAAAUACUUAAACGUAUAUAAUUAUGUUUAUUAAAUAUUUAUCGGAUGAUUUAAAAUAUAAAAAUUUUAUUAUUUAAUAAAUUAUAUUAAAAGUUAUAUAAAAUGUUACACUUAUUGAAUAUAUUAUUUAGUAAUUGUUGUAAAAUUAAAAACCCUGUUUUUUUUUUUUUCAAAUUAAGUUGAUACUUAGUCUCAACUGUGCUUUUAUCCAUAAUUUUAAAUAAUUUAUUUGUAGAAACCCUAAAAACCAUAUAUUUUUCGUUGACAUAUCAUAAAAAUUAAAAUUAUUAAUUUCAAACUGUUUAAAUACUGGUAAAAUGUAAAAUAAUGCAAAUGGUGACAGUUUUUGCAACCAACUUUUUUUCUUGGAAAUUCUCUGUAUUACAAUCGUCUUUUAUAAUAUUUUUAUUAAUAUUAUUUUGUUCCAAACAUGCCCUUGUCUUAUCCAAAUAAUGCCCCGUACUCUCCUGCCCUUCUCUCUAUUCUUAUAAGGGCAGUGGCCUGUGGAUCAAAGACCACAGUCCCAAGAGAGAAGAGAAAGACAAAGCAAUUAAGCUCACAAGAGAGAAGCUCUUCUAUUUUCUAGAGUAAGAAAGAAGAAAGAAGACGAUGGCCAAGGAAGUAAGUGAAGAAACGCAAACUACCCAUGCAAAGGAUUAUGUUGAUCCACCACCUGCGCCACUGAUCGACAUGGCUGAAAUCAAGCUCUGGUCUUUCUACAGAGCUUUAAUAGCUGAGUUCAUAGCCACUCUCCUUUUCCUUUACAUAACUGUAGCCACUGUAAUUGGCUACAAGAAACAAACUGAUCCAUGUGGUGGAGUUGGUCUUUUGGGCAUUGCAUGGGCCUUUGGUGGCAUGAUCUUUAUCCUUGUUUACUGCACUGCCGGUAUAUCUGGUAAGUAAAAAAAAAAGGAACUAUUUCUCUAAGUUACUAGUACCCAAAUGGGUAUUUAUUAAGUUUUAGGUUUCUGUGAAGUUUCUUUGUGGAUUUGGUCAUUCAACUUGAAAAAUAACAAAACCCAUUUGUUUUCAAGACCUGUUUAAUAAUGGGUUUUCCUUAUUUUGGUUACAGGUGGUCAUAUUAACCCAGCAGUGACCUUUGGGCUGUUUUUAGCAAGAAAGGUGUCACUAAUUCGAGCCUUGGCUUACAUGGUGGCUCAGUGUUUAGGUGCCAUCUGUGGUGUAGGGUUGGUCAAAGCUUUUAUGAAGAAUCCAUAUAAUCAUCUUGGUGGUGGUGCUAACUCUGUAAAUACCGGCUAUAGCAAAGGAACUGCUUUGGGUGCUGAGAUCAUCGGCACUUUUGUUCUAGUCUACACUGUUUUCUCUGCAACUGACCCCAAGAGAAGUGCACGUGACUCACACGUUCCUGUAUGUUAUCAACCAUAGCCUAGUAUAGCUCUCCUCUUUCAUGUCAAAGAGUUCAAAUCUAAACUUUGUUUUGGUUAUGUUUGGUUGCAGAUUUUGGCUCCACUUCCAAUUGGGUUUGCAGUUUUUAUGGUUCACUUGGCUACCAUACCCAUUACUGGUACUGGUAUUAACCCAGCGAGGAGCUUCGGUGCUGCUGUUAUUUACAACAAUGAUAAAGUCUGGGAUGAUCAUGUAAGCCUCUUGAUAGUCAACCAGAAACUUAUUUUUCUUGAUUUUAUGGUUGUUUUGAAGUUGGUGCUUUUUAACAUAAAACAUCAGAAGUAGGUUAAUUUUCAAGAAUAUGUUUAUCUUCUUGAUAAAAUAAUUUAAUUUCCUUUUUAAUUAUUUUUUGGAUGGGCAGUGGAUUUUCUGGGUUGGACCGUUUGUUGGAGCAAUUGCAGCAGCUGCAUACCAUCAAUACAUACUGAGAGCAGCAGCUAUCAAAGCUUUGGGAUCUUUCCGCAGCAACCCCACCAACUAAAAUGAAAGAAAGAACGAAAGAAAGAAAAACAAGAAAAAAAAAAAAAACCAAAGGCUUUGUGUAGCUAUCUUUAGUCUCUAGUCUUUCUUUUUCUCUAUUUGUUUGUUUGUUGUGUGUAAUGAGAGGAUUAUGAUGAUGACCCUUCUUUCUUCUUUCUUUUUUUACUUCAUUUUUUCUUUUCUUAUUGUUCUUUUGUAUCAUUGUUAAUGAGUAGUGCUGUUCUUUUUUCUUUCUUUUGAUCAUAUUUAAUUGCUUUGUGCAGUGUAGAACGUUCUCUCUCAACACUCUUUUAAUAAUUAGCCACUAAAUAAACUACCAGCUAACUAAAUUUUUAUCCUCUCGACCUUCAUUACAGCGGUGCUAGUGAAUUUGUGAGUAGCGGUUAGGCCAUCUUCGGGAACAGUUUUUUCAUAUGGC